GAAGGGCUUUUGUGACUUUGGUUCCCUGUGAGCAAGAUGAUCUGCAAGUGGCGACAUGAACUGAUUACCAAUCACUGACUUCAGGAGGAAGCAAGAGUUCUGGAGGCUGGGAAGUCCAAGAUCAAGGCAGGCGCCAGCAGACUCUGGGUCUGACAAGGGAAUGAGAAGCAGCAAGUUAAAUGCAGAACAGAAAUGAAGCUGUUAGACCAAAUUUUCAGCUUCUCACAUGGGCACAGAUUACCAAAAGUGGGACUGCUGGCACAAAGCAUAUGUGUGUAUUCAUCGUGACUGUUACUACCAGAUUCUUUUCCAAGAAAGUUCUAGGCACUAACUUUUUUUUUAAGACUGCAUGAAGUAUAUCUUUUUCUAAUAAUACAGUAUUUCAUGGA
rnacentral:lncRNA from 1 species